rnacentral:rRNA from 1 species
UCCAGACUCCUACGGGAGGCAGCAGUGGGGGAUAUUGCACAAUGGGGGGAACCCUGAUGCAGCGACGCCGCGUGGGUGAAGGAGCGUUUCGGCGCGUAAAGCCCUAUCGGCAGGGAAGAAGGAGGACGGUACCUGACUAAGAAGCCCCGGCUAACUACGUGCCAGCAGCCGCGGUAAUACGUAGGGGGCCAGAGUUAUCCGGAUUUACUGGGUGUAAAGGGGGCGCAGACGGCAGCGCAAGCCAGGAGUGAAAGCCCGGGGCCCAACCCCGGGACUGCUCUUGGAACUGCGCGGCUGGAGUGCAGGAGGGGCAGGCGGAAUUCCUGGUGUAGCGGUGAAAUGCGUAGAUAUCAGGAGGAACACCGGUGGCGAAGGCGGCCUGCUGGACUGCGACUGACGUUGAGGCCCGAAAGCGUGGGGAGCAAACAGGAUUAGAUACCCCUGUA